GGCAUGCAUCUUUGAUUCCAAAGUAGAAAUCCUCUGUUCUAGCUCAGUACAUUUUCGGCAUGAUCUCCUGGGUCUCUGGCCGGAGGAGCGCAUUUUGUUUUAAUCCAACUUCAAGGUGAAUUGCCGUUCAGUUUUUGCUCGUUGACUUGGCUGGCUCAUUUAAAGUAAAAAACUAACCACUAAAGUUUCAGAUUUAAAUGUACUGGUUUCACUGUCUUUGCUAAACUAUCUUGUAAAUGAAAUAAAAGAAUGAAAAAGAGUGGAAAUUGCUAAAAGGAUAGGUGAAGCAGGAGCAGUGUGAAAUGCGUCCUACUCGCUUGAGUAGGAGUUCAGUAGGAGUUGAGAAAGACAUUUUUUUGAGUGACAUUUUUCUAAAAGGUAUUAAAUUAAUUUUAAGAAAAGCUCUGGUAUAGAUCAGGCUCAGUAUAGCCUAACUCUUAAAUUUGAGCUUGAAUUGAUUUAUUUAAUGAAAGUAGAUUACUGUGUCAUUAGCAAUGGCCAAUGUUAUGUAAAAAAGAUACACAAAACUAUUUAUUUUAACAAUUAGUUUUAAUCAGGCUUUGCUACAAAGGUAAAAGGUGCAUUCCAUGCAAACAUCACAGUCUCUUAGAGCUCAACAACUCUGCAUAGUGGCAUGACUGACCUUUUCUUUAGUUUUGCUGAAAUGCACAGUGGAUGUGUCAACCACAUGAAGCCCAUGGCAGCACUUUGUACGCUUUUUCUGAUACAUUAGAUAAUUUCCUCCUCCCCCUUUCUGUCUGCGCACAUUCACGGUCAGGCAUUAGGGCCCAGCGGGAAUGUGGUUAGGUUAAUGAGGUCUCACUUAAGCCUUAAAACGUCAUCUGUAAAUCACCUGGCACGAGACGCCGAGCCUAUUGUUCAUCCGAGUGCACCUGUGUCGUUGGCAAGCGUGGCCUACUUUGCCUCCAUACUGGAAUGUUUGUGGAUUGUAUCGGAUGUGCGUUUAAGUCUUUAUCUUCAUACUGGAUUGUUAAGUCAAGCAGCCUCGCUGGUGGUGUGAGCCCAGCUGUAACGCCGUGCCUGCAACGAGACGAGUUUCAUACUGGAUUGUAUCGGAUGUGCGUUUAAGUCUUUACCUUCAUACUGGAUUAAGUCAAGCAGCGUCGCUGUUGGUGUGAGCCCAGCUGUAACGCCUUACACGCAACGAGACGAGUUUCAGGGUUAAGUGAGUCAACCAAGGAACGAGUCUAUAUUACUACACGGUGGCUUGCCGCGGCCGUGGUCCUAAUUGGUGUUGCUACGAUAGAGGCUGGCACCACUGUUUUUCCCAUGUUGAUUUUAUUGUUCUUUAUUAAGUUUGUUUCUUAUUGAGCUCGCGUGAAUUUAGUGGGCUAUGUGCAAUAUCUGACUAGGCCUAGGCUUCUGACUAGUGUGUGCUGUCGCAAACUGAAGAGGCGUAUUGGGUUAGUGCAAUAUCUGAGGUGAUCUCUAAUGUGUGUCUAGUGAUUUGCAUUAGUUAGUGUUAAUAUUCAACGGGUUUGUGCAAUUAUAUCUGUGCAAUUAUCAGUGGCUAUAUGGGCUAAGUGCAAUAUCUUUCAGUCUUUGAUGUUAGUACACAGGUUAACUAAGGUGUGUGUGUGUGUGUGUGUGUGUGUGUGUGUGUGUGUAUAGCCAACCCCAGUUAUUCUCACCCUUGUGUGCUGUGUAUCUUGGGCACUCUGAAUAGAAGUGAUCUUCUCUUAAAGUGGCAGCUGCAUUUAUUUUCAUUUGUAGCCUACAUUAGGUGUUUUAUUUGAUUUUGUUUAGUGUUUGCUGUGAAACAUCUUUGCUGUGUGGUGUGUCUUAUUGGUUGGUACCAUCACUACAUCUCUGAGCCUCAGUACUAACUGUUGAGUACUGGUUGUAUUGAGCUGAAGUCCUAGACUAUUGCAAAUUUGCACAGUGUACCGUUUUGCACAAUAUUGAGAUUGCCUUUUGCACAUUGCCUACGAUUACCCUAACUGGUGGCGAUUUAUAGCCCAUUGUCUUCCUUGUGUAUAAAAACAACUUUGUGAAAUAAAUAAGAAUUUGAAUACAUGACAGCUGUAUCCUGAUCAGUUUAUUCUCUUAGUGAACUUGCUGGGGAAUUGACCUAGGUGUAUGGUAUAGGGCUCUUCCACCCUUCUAACCGGGAGUGGCGUAGUCACUGUUUAGAACAUUAUGCUACAGGCCACACACACAACUCCCAGUAAUACGCUCAACAGGCAGAAAUGAUGCUGGGUAUAUACACAUGUCUGUUCCCUGCAAGCUCCAAUAAUGUAACCCGACUUAAAACAUGCCCGACUCAAGACAUGUCUGUUCCCUGCAAGCUCCAAUAAUGUAAAAAGUUUAGAUUCAGAUUUCCUCUUCACACAAACACAAUGAGAAUUUCAGAGGCAAAUAUGUACUUUUCUGUACUAUAUUUUUUUAAAAAUCUAAAAAAAUUAUAUAAAAAAUAUGCAGUUUAAUAAAUGUGUAUAAAAAUAGAUAUUUUCCCAGGUAGUAGGCUACUUACACAGUCCAAAACAGUCUCAGUCCAUACGCCACAGCAGAGAGAACGUCACUUCAAUAAGUCCAACCAUUACGCCCCCACACCAGCAGAGGAGACAAUUCCUCUGGUGAGCAGUGGAAGACCCGCCCAUCACUUCCGCCAGUACACUGACUGGUUGUUUACAGGGUAAACAGUUAGUGUACAGCUUGCCGGGAAAUUCAAACAGAAAGGCUUGGAUCAUCUAGUGCCAGAUGAGCGGUUACUUCUUAAGGCUGGGCCAGGAGAAGGGACAUCAGCCGUGGGGAAAUCAGAGCCGUGGUAGCCUUCAGCCGUAGCCUACCUACCAGGGUUCUCUCGAAGACAAAUUGUAGGCGCUACGCACCGGAGCAAGGACUAAUAACCUCGCCUCAUAAUGAGGCCGUGACCUCCUAUUUGCUCGGAGCUAUGUCUGCAAGUCAUGACGCCAUUGCAUGUAAGUAACUUUUACUGUUUUCUCCUUCCUUGUUUAAUUUUACUGUGACUUACGUUGUUUUUUAUUCAUACCACUCAUUUAAUUGUUUUCCAUCUGCCUGUAAGACCUAUUACGAGACAGUAGGCUACGCAGGAGCUUCAGGUACAAACAACCAUGCAUCGCAAGCGGAAGCUGUGAAGAGUUUAGCUUAGAGUCAAUCGAGAAGAAAAUGGGUAGAUUUGUUUAUGGUGACUAUUUUUCAUGCAUUAGAUGUGGUGUUUUCAUAGCCUACACAGUGCAUCGUGCAGUGCUGAUUGUCUUUAUUGAUUGUUCUUCAGCUGCUGGAAGUGAGACAGACUCCGAACAGGGCAACGCACCACAGACGUCUUCAAAACGGACAGAAUUCAGACAGAAUGCCGCCAGUUACGAUACCUACUGCUCUGAGGUGACAAACAGCCACUUCACAGUGCUGUGAUUUUGGGCUUCUCAUUCGCUUGAGCUUUGAGCUUCCCAUUUGUUGUGAGGGCAGAUCUCACUUUGUAACCUAUACCUAGUUGUGUGUCUGUGCUAAUAAAGCUCUUUCUUUGAAUAAA